AAUGAACGUUGGCGGCGUGGAUUAGGCAUGCAAGUCGUACGAGAAUCGUAGCAAUACGAGGAAAGUGGCGGAAGGGAGAGGAUUACGUGGGAAUCUACCCUCAGAACUGGGAUAGCGGCGGGAAACUGCCGGUAAUACCAGAUAAUGUCUGUGGACCAAAGGUGUGAUUCCGUCUGGGGAUGAGCCCACGUCCUAUUAGCUAGUUGGCAGGGUAAUGGCCUACCAAGGCAAUGAUGGGUAGCGGGUGUGAGAGCAUGACCCGCCUCACUGGGACUGAGAACUGCCCAGACACCUACGGGUGGCUGCAGUCGAGAAUCUUCGGCAAUGAGCGCAAGCUUGACCGAGCGACGCCGCGUGCGGGAUGAAGGCCUUCGGGUUGUAAACCGCUGUCGUAGGGGAGCAAGAGAUGAGGGUACUCCCUCUGAUUUGAGCGAUCCUAGGAGGAAGGACGGGCUAAGUUCGUGCCAGCCGCCGCCGUAAUAC
rnacentral:rRNA from 1 species